rnacentral:rRNA from 1 species
GGUGAACGCUGGCGGCGUGCCUAAUACAUGCAAGUCGAGCGAACGGACGAGAAGCUUGCUUCUCUGAUGUUAGCGGCGGACGGGUGAGUAACACGUGGAUAACCUACCUAUAAGACUGGGAUAACUUCGGGAAACCGGAGCUAAUACCGGAUAAUAUUUUGAACCGCAUGGUUCAAAAGUGAAAGACGGUCUUGCUGUCACUUAUAGAUGGAUCCGCGCUGCAUUAGCUAGUUGGUAAGGUAACGGCUUACCAAGGCAACGAUGCAUAGCCGACCUGAGAGGGUGAUCGGCCACACUGGAACUGAGACACGGUCCAGACUCCUACGGGAGGCAGUAGUAGGGAAUCUUCCGCAAUGGGCGAAAGCCUGACGGAGCAACGCCGCGUGAGUGAUGAAGGUCUUCGGAUCGUAAAACUCUGUUAUUAGGGAAGAACAUAUGUGUAAGUAACUGUGCACAUCUUGACGGUACCUAAUCAGAAAGCCACGGCUAACUACGUG